rnacentral:rRNA from 1 species
GAUGAACGCUGGCGGCGUGCUUAACACAUGCAAGUCGAACGGAACUACUCCAAUGAGAGUCUUCGGAAGGGAUUUGGUUUAGUUUAGUGGCGGACGGGUGAGUAACGCGUGGGUAACCUGCCCUAUACAGGGGGAUAACAGUUGGAAACGACUGUUAAUACCGCAUAAGCGCACAGGAGCGCAUGCUCCGGUGUGAAAAACUCCGGUGGUAUAGGAUGGACCCGCGUCUGAUUAGCUGGUUGGCGGGGUAACGGCCCACCAAGGCGACGAUCAGUAGCCGGCCUGGGAGGGUGAACGGCCACAGUGGGACUGAGACACGGCCCAAACUCCUACGGGAGGCAGCAGUGGGGAAUAUUGCACAAUGGGGGAAACCCUGAUGCAGCUACGCCGCGUAAGCGAAGAAGUAUCUCGGUAUGUAAAGCUCUAUCAGCAGGGAAGAAAAUGACGGUACCUGACUAAGAAGCCCCGGCUAACUACGUG